GGCGCAGCCUGGUAGCGCGCCUGAUUUGCAAUCAGGAGGCCGUGGGUUCAAAAGCCCACGCGCCGCA
rnacentral:tRNA from 1 species